UGUGCCAUGAUGAUAAAUUUCUAGUAAAUGGGGAUAAAUGGGAAAUCUGAAAUAUUUGUAACAUUAUUCUGAAUCAUUUCGAUUACGGUUUUAACUAUAGAUUGUAGAAGUGAAUAAAGAAUGUCAAAUUCCAGGAUUUCAGCCAGUCCAAGGGUCCAUUUGCUUGAGACUUCUACUUAUGGCAGGUAUAAAUUUCAAUAUUGGAGUGAAAACUGGACAAGACGAUACAGACAAAAAU